AAAUUGUCAAAUAUUAUAGCGAUGAAAACUAGUGAAACAUGGUGGGAAUACGGACUAGCCAUUUCUCAAAUGGUUUGUGAUUAUAUUUGCGCAACACACUUAUACAUGUGUAUAUCACUGUAUGCCACUUAAAUUGAACAGUUUGCCAAACUGUUGCACACAUUGGUAUUUGUAAAGCCCGAACUUCUCAGUUUGCGUUUUUUUUUCGGAAAAAAAACAAAAUCUUUCGUGAAGUCGCUUGUGAGCUGUGUGAAAAUCCCAACUAAAAACUUGCUGCGGUGAACGAUCUGAAGUUUCUGGAGCGGUCCGGAUUAGUCAGGGAAUUCGUGAACUUUCUCCAACAGCAUGAGUUUCAUUCCGCCUGACUCUGUGCGACUGCGGGGGCUCCGCAAAUUCUAUGAAAUUCACCCCCAUCCGGAAGAGGACCCCAGCAAUCAUCGUUGGAGCUACCGGAUCCGGGAUUGCCUCGCGAGUCGGGUGAUUGUAGCAGUAUUAUGCGUGGAUGUCAAUAAAAGUGAUGUGCUUUGAAGUUAUAGCCGAGGUGGAAUAUUUCUUGAAUAAAAAAAAUCUCCGGUGAACGCAUAA